CCCUUUUCUUCUACCUCUGCCACCGUCUCUCCACCCCUCAACCGUAACCAACCUCUGUGAAAGUCCUCCGUGAUGUAUACUCCAAACCCCACUCUGAUUUAUGCGGAAUUCGACCCAUCAAUGGUCGAUUCCGUCAAAAUUGACCAUCUGAGCGGUGGCUACGUCUCCCAUUGGCAAUAUUUUGAUGGAUCUGAAAUUUGCUAGAUCUCGAUGCUACGUUCCCCAUUCUCUUCGAGAAGGUAGAUGGAAGGUGGUUCGAGAGGGUAGAUGCAAGAUGGAUACUGUGGUUCCGAAAACCGAUCUACCAGAGACCUUCGUUCCUGAAACCAAUAUGCUGGAGGCGGUGGUUGCUGAAGAAGAAAAGUCGGUGCUUGCUGAAGAGAAAGAGGCGGAAAUGGCGGGAAAAUUUGUGUACCGAUUCCAGUGGGUGCUAGAUCUAAUGUUGGGAAUCUAUUUUCCCUUCUACAAACGGGUGAGGAAAUUUCUUUUUUAUGUGUGCCUCUGAAAAUUGUUUAAGGCCUUCUUGUGUUUAAGGCCGCCAUCUUAUUGUUGAUGAUAAAUUGUUG
rnacentral:lncRNA from 1 species